AACUUUUAUUGGACACAGCUGGGAGCCAGCUCUGAGGAGCAAUAGCAUUCUACCCUCCACUCUGGCUGUUCAGGGCUGGGGGGAGGGUGGCUCCAUCCAAGGAGUCUCAGCAACAGGAACCCCACAAGACAGCAGUCUACUAAUGAUUACUGUAUAGUAGAGAUGGGAAGA